UCACCAGUUUAGUGAGACCCUUUCUUGGCAGGCAGGAGGCAGUGUCACUGAGGAUUUUUUUCAUUUACUUCAUUGAACAAGUAAGAGGGUGAAUUUAAUUUUCAAAUCAGGUUCUGCUGUGAAGCACUAGGGUCUUGAGGCAGCUACUGAUUACUUAAGUGUGGUGGCAGGGGGUGAGCCAGCUGGUGUUAAGUGAAAGGAGGGAUUAGAGAAAACAGGUGUGGCACAAAGGCAAGGAAACAGAGCAGACAAGACACAACAAUGUGUAGAAUGCAUAUUUCCUAGUUUUCUUGAAAGAUUUCAAGAAAAGUAUGUUUUUUCUAGUGGCUACUUUGCCUUAAAGAGGCUUUGUAAGUUCAUUCACACAGCUGGCUUCUCUCUGGGUUUAAGAUUCUGGAGAGGAGGGUAACCUAGUAACUCACCACAGUGCUUAAAAAACCACCAUCACCAGAAAAUUCCAAUAGUUGGUUUUCCUUUUCUCUGUGUGUGAUGUGUAUGUACUUCCCAACUAAGUAAAAUAAAAUAUCCUCUAGUGAGUACUUUAGGUAAACUCUUUCCAUAUGGCAGUAGUGAAAGAACUGAGCCUUCAGUUGAUAGUUCUUAUCUGUCCAGCAAGUUGCUGAAAUCCACAUCCCUUUGUUUUUCCUCUGGAAUGAGAAUAGCAAACUAUGUAUCCUAGUUUGCAUUUAAUCUGAUGGAAACUUGAGUGAAGUUUCAGUGUUCUUUCUAUAAAAAAACUGACACGUUGUCAACAGUUGAUGAGCCUAUAGAUGAUACAGUGUAUAGGAAGUGAAAUUGAAAGUUACUUAAAUUAUGUGAUAUUUUUCUCUAAUUGGUAAAGUACCUAUUAAAAUACAGCUGUUCAUGAGGAGACUUAUUUACCACAAUUAAAAGUGUAGCAGUUGUGAUUUUUAGCAUUAUAAUACUUGAUUGAGGCCCUGAGGUGUUAAUAUGUCAAUCUCAGAGUUAGAUGUUCAUGUCCUUUUUGAAUUGUUUAAACAUUUUUCAUGAAAUUUUUUUUUUUUUUUUAAGUUAGGGAGCACAUUGAAGUUCUCUGUGUAGAAAAUACCUUCUGCUCUGCGUCUCCCAGCUUGCACUGAGGGCUGGAAAAGGACAGGCCUGUCCAGCUGUACUGUCCCACUGUGUGCGGGGAAGCUUAGGCUCUGGUGGAAGCAGGGGGGCGUAGAUGUCAAACAACUGAUGAUGAAACAGGGAGGGAGAGAUAUAAUAAGGCUCUCUAGGCAUGUUAUUUUUGACCACAAGCUUUGUUCAGUUUGCUUCAGCCAAUCCAAACCAUAUACUAGUGUUCUGUAGUCACAAUUCUUAUUUCAAAUGUAAUUCAGCACCUUACAUAAUGUUUGAGGAGUUGUCAUUCAUCACAUAUUUACUGAGUUUCUAUGUGCCAGGCUCUGUGAUUGGAUACUAGAGCUAUCAAAAAAAAAAAAAAAAAAAAAAA
rnacentral:lncRNA from 1 species